rnacentral:rRNA from 1 species
CUUACACAUGCAAGUCGAACGGAAAGGCCCUGCUUUUGUGGGGUGCUCGAGUGGCGAACGGGUGAGUAACACGUGCGUAACCUGCCCUUGACUUUGGGAUAACUUCAGGAAACUGGGGCUAAUACCGGAUAGGAGCUCCUGCUGCAUGGUGGGGGUUGGAAAGUUUCGGCGGUUGGGGAUGGACUCGCGGCUUAUCAGCUUGUUGGUGGGGUAGUGGCUUACCAAGGCUUUGACGGGUAGCCGGCCUGAGAGGGUGACCGGCCACAUUGGGACUGAGAUACGGCCCAGACUCCUACGGGAGGCAGCAGUGGGGAAUAUUGCACAAUGGGCGGAAGCCUGAUGCAGCAACGCCGCGUGCGGGAUGACGGCCUUCGGGUUGUAAACCGCUUUCGCCUGUGACGAAGCGUGAGUGACGGUAAUGGGUAAAGAAGCACCGGCUAACUACGUGCCAGCAGCCGCGGUGAUACGUAGGGUGCGAGCGUUGUCCGGAUUUAUUGGGCGUAAAGGGCUCGUAGGUGGUUGAUCGCGUCGGAAGUGUAAUCUUGGGGCUUAACCCUGAGCGUGCUUUCGAUACGGGUUGACUUGAGGAAGGUAGGGGAGAAUGGAAUUCCUGGUGGAGCGGUGGAAUGCGCAGAUAUCAGGAGGAACACCAGUGGCGAAGGCGGUUCUCUGGGCCUUUCCUGACGCUGAGGAGCGAAAGCGUGGGGAGCGAACAGGCUUAGAUACCCUGGUAGUCCACGCUGUAAACGGUGGGUACUAGGUGUGGGGUCCAUUCCACGGGUUCCGUGCCGUAGCUAACGCUUUAAGUACCCCGCCUGGGGAGUACGGCCGCAAGGCUAAAACUCAAAGGAAUUGACGGGGCCCCGCACAAGCGGCGGAGCAUGCGGAUUAAUUCGAUGCAACGCGUAGAACCUUACCUGGGUUUGACAUGGAUCGGGAGUGCUCAGAGAUGGGUGUGCCUCUUUUGGGGUCGGUUCACAGGUGGUGCAUGGCUGUCGUCAGCUCGUGUCGUGAGAUGUUGGGUUAAGUCCCGCAACGAGCGCAACCCUUGUUCACUGUUGCCAGCACGUUAUGGUGGGGACUCAGUGGAGACCGCCGGGGUCAACUCGGAGGAAGGUGGGGAUGACGUCAAGUCAUCAUGCCCCUUAUGUCCAGGGCUUCACGCAUGCUACAAUGGCUGGUACAGAGAGUGGCGAGCCUGUGAGGGUGAGCGAAUCUCGGAAAGCCGGUCUCAGUUCGGAUUGGGGUCUGCAACUCGACCUCAUGAAGUCGGAGUCGCUAGUAAUCGCAGAUCAGCAACGCUGCGGUGAAUACGUUCCCGGGGCUUGUACACACCGCCCGUCAAGUCAUGAAAGUUGGUAACACCCGAAGCCGGUGGCCUAACCGAUGUGGGGGAGCCGUCGAAGGUGGGACUGGUGAUU